ACGGGUAGCCGGCUUCAGAGGGUGACCGGCCACACUGGGACUGAGACACGGCCCAGAUCUUACGGGAGGCAGCAGUGGGGAAUAUUGCACAAUGGGCGGAAGCCUGAUGCAGCAACGCCGCGUGAGGGAUGACGGCCUUCGGGUUGUAAACCUCUUUUAGCAGGGAAGAAGCGAAAGUGACGGUACCUGCAGAAAAAGCGCCGGCUAACUACGUGCCAGCAGCCGCGGUAAUACGUAGGGCGCAAGCGUUAUCCGGAAUUAUUGGGCGUAAAGAGCUCGUAGGCGGUUUGUCGCGUCUGCUGUGAAAUCCCGAGGCUCAACCUCGGGCCUGCAGUGGGUACGGGCAGACUAGAGUGCGGUAGGGGAGAUUGGAAUUCCUGGUGUAGCGGUGGAAUGCGCAGAUAUCAGGAGGAACACCGAUGGCGAAGGCAGAUCUCUGGGCCGUAACUGACGCUGAGGAGCGAAAGGGUGGGGAGCAA
rnacentral:rRNA from 1 species